CAGCAGUGAGGAAGGCGGAGUCGUUAAUAGCGGCCUCGUUUGACGUUUAGCUGCAGAAGAAGCACCGGCUAACUCCGUGCCAGCAGCCGCGGUAAUACGGAGGGUGCGAGCGUUAAUCGGAAUUACUGGGCGUAAAGCGCAUGCAGGUGGUUUGUUUAAGUCAGAUGUGAAAGCCCGGGGCUCAACCUCGGAAUAGCAUUUGUAAACUGGCAGACUAGAGUACUGUAGAGGGGGGUAGGAAUUUCAGGUGUAGCGGUGAAAUGCGUAGAGAUCUGAAGGAAUACCGGUGGCGAAGGCGGCCCCCUCGGACAGAUACUGACACUCAGAUGCGAAAGCGUGGGGAGCAAACAGGAUUAGAUACCCUGGUAG
rnacentral:rRNA from 1 species